rnacentral:snoRNA from 1 species
ACCCUCUCAGGGUCAUACCUGGAUAGUUUCCAGUACUUUACCAGUCUCGGCUACAGGAGGGAGAGGCAAGCAGAGGCCUAUCCAUUCCAUUCAUAGCCUGGGCAGUGGCUAGCGAGUGGAAGGCAAUCUCCUACAAGU